rnacentral:rRNA from 1 species
UACGUAGGGUGCAAGCGUUGUCCGGAAUUAUUGGGCGUAAAGAGCUCGUAGGCGGUCUGUCGCGUCUGCUGUGAAACUCAGGGCUUAACCCUGAGCUUGCAGUGGGUACGGGCAGACUAGAGUGCGGUAGGGGAGACUGGAAUUCCUGGUGUAGCGGUGAAAUGCGCAGAUAUCAGGGAGGAACACCGGUGGCCGAAGGCGGGUCUCUGGGCCGUAACUGACG